AAUAAUAUUGGAGAAUGAAGACAUCAAGAAGACUUGCUUUGAGAAAAGGUUCGCUUGGUAAAUGAAUGCUUGUAGGAUCUUCCAUAUCACAUCCGAGCACAAGAUUGUUUUUUGUUGAAUAAGGAAAAUGAUUCCAUGGAAAGAUAAAUCCUGGUUGCUUGAGAAAACUAUGGACACGGGGUUUUUGUUUUGUUGAAACUAUCUUGUUUUUUAGAUAUGAGAAAAGGUUUUCGAGCGUGUUGAUUUUAUCAAUUGUGUCCUGUCCUUUUUGUAGAACUUUUCAACAUCAACUUUCUAAAGAACGUCACUGUAAACUCCCUUAUUAUUAUUAUCCAUAAUUUGUACUCACUGUUGAUGAUA